GACUCCGUAGCUUGAAGGUAUAGAAGCGCCCGUCUAGCGAAUUGGGAGUCGUGAGCUCGAGUCUCACCGGAGUAC
rfam:Aedes albopictus isolate Foshan contig31780, whole genome shotgun sequence.